CAGACAGAGACAGAGAUACACAGAGAAAGAGAUGGGGCGAGAUAGAUACAGAUAAGUGAGUGAAAAACUGAGCUAGUUGGCCGCUGAUCUUUCCCUGCUUUUUUCGGCGGUGGCAGAGAAUCAUUAUUCAAGUAGAUCUCACACAGACUGCACAUGAGAGUGCAUAGUUCACAAAUACGUUAAAAUAUUCGGCUUGCAUAUGCCGCACUUACUCAAUGGAUUGAGGCAAGCUGUCAUACUGUGUGGCAGCAUGUUUGAUGUGUGUUGCCAUGUGGCAUGAAUGCGACUCGAUUGGGAACUUUCUCAAAUGCCGCAGCCGGAUGAUUAAAGCUGAUUUGAUACAAAUGCAGCUUGUGGUAUGUG